UACGUAGGGGGCAAGCGUUGUCCGGAAUCAUUGGGCGUAAAGAGCGUGUAGGCGGCUCGAUAAGUCUGCUGUGAAAGUCCAGGGCUCAACCCUGGAAGGCCGGUGGAAACUGUCGGGCUAGAGUGCGGAAGAGGCGAGUGGAAUUCCUGGUGUAGCGGUGAAAUGCGCAGAUAUCAGGAGGAACACCAAUUGCGAAGGCAGCUCGCUGGGACGUGACUGACGCUGAGACGCGAAAGCGUGGGGAGCAAACAGG
rnacentral:rRNA from 1 species